GCUGCACCUGCUUCUCCUCCUGCUGCCUCCUUGCUUCUGGUGCUCCCUGCCCCGUGGCUCCGGCACUUCCCAGCCUCGGUGCCGCUGCUGAAGGUCUCUGAGCUAAAUCCUGGGGGCCUGCGAGCAGGGGUCGAGCUGAGCCACAGAUCCCUUCCCCGGGGACUGAUAAAUGUCUUGGAGAGCAGCUGGGGAGGGAAGGUUAGAAACGCAGAGGGGAAGUGUGAGGACGUGGUUGGAGUCCAGGGAAGUGAAAGAUGGAUUUGAUAUCUCAGCAGGUUCAGAAGUUCAGUCUUGACAAAGCUUUGGUGGUUUAGAUAAGCAUCUUUAUACAAGUGUGACCCUUUUGAAUCUUUGUUUCAACCUUUCCAUUUUUUUUCUUAAUUUUUUAUUUUUAGCUUGUUCUCCUUACUCCUUUUCCUAAGCUCUUAUUGCUUUCAAGGGACCCUUUUCUUCUCCUAAAUUGAAUCCAGGAGCUUGCUUCUGUUCCUUUCCUCCUCGUUUUACCCCCCCAGCAGACUGCGUUCCUUUUUGUUACAGCAUUGUCAAGUCACUUGUGGUGUUCAAAUCCUUGUGAUGUGCUAUAUGCCAGUGACAGAGCAUGUCUCGUAGUGCACAAGCAAUCCCAAGCACUCAGAAUUGAGAUGCACACCUGCAAGAAAAGCCAGAACUUCCAAUUUUGAUAAAAACUUCUCUGUGAAGAGAUGUCUCCAUUUCAGGAUGAAAUUCAUGCUCAGGGUGUGAGAGUUCAAGAAUACCAAUGUGGUCAGAUUAUUCAUCUCGGUCCAGGAAAUAUCACCUUUAUGCUUUUUCAUCUGAAUCAAGCAGAUCACAGGGACUGACUGGAGUCCCUGCAGCCCAGAUGAAAGUCCCGAUCAUUUAGCAAUAGACAAUGCUGGGAUAUGUGCUCGCUCGCUCUCUCUUUUUUUGUACCACACGGUAACGGAUCAGGGAAAAACAUGAUGACUGCUGAGAUCCUGCGGUGCACGAACAUAUGCUUCGUCGAUCUGCGCGGUGCUCAGCUCUCCACCCGGGUCUGCAUGCGGGAGCCUGGGCUGAGCAGGACCGAUACCGGUAGGUUCUGUGUUCACCGGGUAGCGUGGAAGCAAAGUGACCUUCAUCAGGUCCCUGUUGCUAAAAGGUG
rnacentral:lncRNA from 1 species